GUCAAACACGAGGGGAGGUUGAUGUAAAUCACCCGUUUAUAUUUUAUUUUCUCAACCUAUUUUCAAUCGUCAACUCUCUUGUGCAUAUUACAAACUCGCAGUGUAGGAAACCCUCGCCCAUCUUUUUAUUUCGAUUUGAAUUCAUCAGGUUAGCUACCGCUGGUCAUCUUUGUAGGACGCGCGCGCACAAGAGAAGAAAGCGAGGAGAAAGGGUAUUCUAAGUUUCAAUGAUGGAAGAUUACGAGUUGGAGACUGUAGACAGAAGAAAAAAAGCAAGCUGCGGCAGAUGUUCUGUUUCAAUAUUCAAAAUUUGUUAUGGUGUGUAUCGGGGAGGGAGUUCGUCCCAGUGACUUAAGGUUGCAUUUGAUGAAGGAGAUUUCAGGCAUGCAAACAUCUUUGAAGAGAGAGACAUCACAGACAACUGCUUCACCGAACGCAAUAAGUGAGCCAUCAAGCUCUGGUACCAGAGGGGAUAGGGUCGAUGGCGGCUCACAUGCACUGUAAUAUGUUUUGUUGGAUUCACUGAAUUUAUGUUCUCUUUCUUUUGCUUUGGUUUUUGUUUUUUUGUUACAAAUUAAUUUUCACUGUCUGAAACACUCCAUUUUGGCCAGAUUCUUAGUGUAAAUAUAUUCCAACAUAUGCAAAUACAUUGUCUCAUCUUUGGACAUGGUCUCAA